CACUUUUCAAUGAUGAUGGUGACAGUGAUUGACGAUGAUGAAGAUGAUGUUGACAAUAAAAAGUUUGAUAAUGAAAUGUGAUACCUCCUAGUCUUGGACACUAUGAUAGGACCAGUAUCCACCAGGAUUCUACUCUUAAAUCCCCAAAAUGCAUUAAGAGGCCCAUUCAUGUGGAGUCAGAGCUCUUUAAACUUGGCAAAUAUACUGAGACCGGGUGAGUCACUAUAUCCUGCCUCACUGACCAGAUGAUUUUCCAUAUGGAGAUUAAAGGAGCCAAGCUAAAUAAUAUACUACCCCCUAUUGCAUACCGUUUCUAGGCUAUG